UCCGGCUUGUCACCGGCGGUCCCUCCAGAGUGCCCGGCCCGACCCGCUGGCAACUGAAGGUAAGGGUUGCGCUCGUUGCGGGACUUAACCCAACACCUCACGGCACGAGCUGACGACAGCCAUGCAGCACCUGUGCUGGCUGCCCUUGCGGGCUCAUUACCGUUUCCGGUUCUUAAUACCAGCAUGUCAAACCUGGGUAAGGUUCUUCGCGUUGCGUCGAAUUAAACCACAUGCACCACCGCUUGUGCGGGCCCCCGUCAAUUCCUUUGAGUUUCAAUCUUGCGAUCGUACUUCCCAGGUGGGAUACUUAAUGCUUUCGCUCAGACACCAACAGUGUAUCGCUGAUGUCGAGUAUCCAUCGUUUAGGGCGUGGACUAC
rnacentral:misc_RNA from 1 species